GAGACAGCAGCAGCCGCGGUAAUACAGAGGGUGCGAGCGUUAAUCGGAUUUACUGGGCGUAAAGCGUGCGUAGGCGGCUUCUUAAGUCGGAUGUAAAAUCCCUGAGCUUAACUUAGGAAUUGCAUUCGAUACUGGGAAGCUAGAGUAUGGGAGAGGAUGGUAGAAUUCCAGGUGUAGCGGUGAAAUGCGUAGAGAUCUGGAGGAAUACCGAUGGCGAAGGCAGCCAUCUGGCCUAAUACUGACGCUGAGGUACGAAAGCAUGGGGAGCAAACAGGAUUAGAUACCCCAGUAGUCCCUGUCUCUUAUAC
rnacentral:rRNA from 1 species